rnacentral:tRNA from 3 species
GUCUUGGUGGCUCAGUUGGUUUAGAGCGUUGGUCUCAUAAUCCAAAGGUCGUGAGUUCGAGUCUCACCCAGGACA